ACUCCUACGGGAGGCAGCAGUGGGGAAUAUUGCACAAUGGGCGCAGGCCUGAUGCAGCCAUGCCGCGUGUAUGAAGAAGGCCUUGGGUUGUAAAGUACUUUCAGCAGUGAGGAAGGGUGGGUAGUGUUAAUAGCAUACUCAUUUGUACGUUAGCUGCAGAAGAAGCACCGGCUAACUCCGUGCCAGCAGCCGCGGUAAGUACGGAGGGUGCGAGCGUUAAUCGGAAUUACUGGGCGUAAAGCGCAUGCAGGUGGUUGUUAAGUCAGAUGUGAAAGCCCGGGGCUCAACCUCGGAAUUGCAUUUGAAACUGGCAAACUAGAGUACUGUAGAGGGGGUA
rnacentral:rRNA from 1 species